AUUGAACGCUGGCGGCAGGCCUAACACAUGCAAGUCGAGCGGAAACGACUUAACUGAACCUUCGGGGGACGUUAAGGGCGUCGAGCGGCGGACGGGUGAGUAAUGCUUAGGAAUUUGCCCAGUCGAGGGGGAUAACCAUUGGAAACGAUGGCUAAUACCGCAUACGCCCUACGGGGGAAAGAGGGGGAUGCUUUUGCACCUUUCGCGAUUGGAUAAGCCUAAGUGAGAUUAGCUAGUUGGUGAGGUAAAGGCUCACCAAGGCGACGAUCUCUAGCUGGUUUGAGAGGAUGAUCAGCCACACUGGAACUGAGACACGGUCCAGACUCCUACGGAGGCAGCAGUGGGGAAUAUUGCACAAUGGGCGCAAGCCUGAUGCAGCCAUGCCGCGUGUAUGAAGAAGGCCUUCGGGUUGUAAAGUACUUUCAG
rnacentral:rRNA from 1 species